CAUGCAGUCGAGCGCCCCGCAAGGGGAGCGGCAGACGGGUGAGUAACGCGUGGGAACUACCUGUGCUACGGAAUAACUCAKGGAAACKUGUGCUAAUACCGUAUAGCUGCCCUUACGGGGGAAAGAUUUAUCGGCAAUGGAUSRGCCCGCGUUGGAUUAGCUAGUUGGUGAGGUAAAGGCCUCACCAAGGCGACGAUCCAUAGCUGGUCUGAGAGGAUGAUCAGCCACACUGGGACUGAGACACGGCCCAAACUCCUACGGGAGGCAGCAGUGGGGAAUAUUGGACAAUGGGCGCAAGCCUGAUCCAGCCAUGCCGCGUGAGUGAUGAAGGCCYUAGGGUUGUAAAGCUCUUUCACCGAUGAAGAUAAUGACGGUAGYCGGAGAAGAAGCCCCGGCUAACUUCGUGCCAGCA
rnacentral:rRNA from 1 species